GGUGUGUUUAAGAAUGCCCUGGAGUCUAUUCUGACUGUUCCUCCAGAGAAUCCAUUUCUGUCUUCAGCCAUUUUUGCCAAAGGUAGAGAUAACAGUUCAUCUGUUUCAUAGUCAUCAUCAAAUGAUCUACAAGAAAAGAACAAAGGACACCUGCAGAUUGAUCACACAGGAUAUUGGGCUCUAUUCCAUGUGGAAAAACCAGAAAUGGCACUUAAAAUGGUUAAACAUUUAAAGAGACUUAAUUCACUGUUAGCUAUGUAGGACUUAGAACUGUUGUAAGAAUAACUAUUCUGCACAUAUACCACCAAUAUUAUAUGAUAAGCCACUUGGAACAUAAAUGUUUUGUCUAAAGCACAGUACUGUAGUUCUUUGUCCAAUGUUUUUCCAAGAAAAUGCACAAAUCCACGUUUUGUUUGUUUAAAUUUCAGCCUUUCCAUAUAGUGAAGCGCCUUAUUGAUUACAAUUAGCAGAUACCGUUUGUAGUAAGAUUUAAUAUUGCAUUACCAUAAUAGGAGACCGGGAGGAAAAGAAAAAAAGGAAAGGAAAAAGUUACUCAGUAGCACACCACCAGCAGCAGAAUCCAUCAUACAGUAUAACUUUGCUGCUGGCUUUGCCUUGCUGUGGUUUCACACAUGCAAACUGCCCACUUGAAGGCAUAUAUAUAAUACAGAUAAAAAGACAAAUUGUGGGCUUUUAAAAAUAUCUGUGAUUAUACUGUUGGAAGCCUACUACUUAAUUGACAGCAUAUGUUUACGGAUAGACAGAUCCUUGAACUACCAAUGAAAAGGCAUUGUGUAGUUAUUCAUUCCUUCUUUUUAAAAAAUUGUGGAAAGAAAAAGAUGGAAGAAAUUAUGGGAAAACUUGGGAAGAUUACAAAUGGAUGAAGUCAUAUGGAGCUCACAUAAAAUUCUAUGUUUGAAACAAGAUGACAGU